rnacentral:lncRNA from 1 species
UAGGAUUUAAUUUGGAAAGCACACGGGCUAUUGGAUUAAAGUUGUUUUUUGAAACUGAGUGCCUUGCCCAGAAGAAGAAGUCGUCGAAAUGGAUGGGUAGGGUUUGAUCUGGAAAACACUUGGGCCAUUGGAUUGAAAACUUGCCCAGAAGAAUAAGUCGCAAGAAAUACUGUAAUUUGGCUUGACGUUGGGUAUUUUGUCACUUUCUCCCUCUUCGUGGUUGAGACGGUAGAAAAUAUAGAGAAACAAGUCAAGAACCCAAGAAAAACGCCACAAAUGACGAUUAGAGUUGGUGGCUCUCUACUCUUUGACCGGCGAUGACAGUAUUGGGUGCUAGAAGCGGUGGAGGUUCGAUGGAUAAGAGGAGCGAUCAUGGAUAGCGUGUUAGAGGGAAUAACUAAUUCCGGUUAGGAUUCUUAUCCAUCUGCACGACCCAUUUUGUUAGCCCUUCCAAAUGACCUAUCUAUUGGGUUAAACGAUAAUUUCAAUCCGACAAAUGAGCUUUUCCCAUGAGCAUCCAUUAAAGAGGUGAGUGAAAAUCGAACGAUUUUCUUCAAUAAAUUUUAGUUUUACGAAAGAUUGAUUUGAGGUUUUGAGAAUUUUUUGAUCUCAGUUAUAAUUGGUGAUAAAAAGGAAAAUGGAUAUAAAAAUUGAGUUUCUCAUACGGUUCUGGUAAUUUUGAUAGUUAGGUUAUA